AUGGUUAACCCACUGUCCGCCGGCGCGGCCGGGCGGCUUUUGUAUCGGAGUCGCCCUGGGACGCGUCCUCCUCGGCCCCCGCCCCGCCCGCCGCGCUCGCUGCGGGUCGCUCUCCCCCCACCCCGCUCCGGGUCUCCCUCUCCCCUUGCCGGCAGCCACCCGCCUCUGUCUCGAGUUCUCCCCCACCUCUGUCUCUGUCUCUCUCCCCCCCCUCCCUCCACCCUGUCUCUUUUCUCUCUCAUUUUCUCUCUGUUUUUUCUGUUUCUCCUCCCACCUCUUCCCGCCUCUCUCCCCCUCUGUUUCUGUCUCUCCCUCAACCCCCAACCUCUCUCUCUCUGUUUCUCUCUCUCCCCGCUUACCUCUCUCUCCUCUGUCUCUCCCCCCACCUCUCUCUCUCCCUCUGUUUCUCUCUCUUCGCUGUCUGUCUCCCCUCCACCUCCCAUUUUCUCUGUUUCUCUCCCCCUCACCUCUCUCCCUCUGUCUCUCUCCUCCCCCUCACCUCUCUCUGUUUCUCUGUUUUUUUCUGUUUCUCCCUCCUCCCACCUCUACCCCCCUCCCCGUCUCUCUGUUUGUGUGUCUGUCCCUCUCCUCCAUCUCUCUCUCCGUUUCUCUGUCUCCCCCCUUACCUAUCUCCCUCAUCUCUCUCUCCCUCUGUUUCUCUACCCCCAACUCCCACUCGCUCUGUUUCUCUCCCCUUCACCUCUCUCUCUCUCUCUGUCUCUUUCCCCCCUCACCUCUCUCUCUGUUUCUCUGUUUCUCCCUUUCCCCAGCUCUCUCCUAUGGGACAGAAUCAGAGGAGAGGACAGGAGGCCGGAAGGAAGCCAGCGCUUAGAUUUUAGUUUCUCUUCUUGCCCUCACCCCUUUCCCUCCCUCCUCUAGGAGACAGGGGCCCCUGUGCCUGCGCCUGUGUGUGUGUGUGUCGGGUGUAUGUGUUGUGUGCUUGCAUGUGUGUGUGCAUUGUGUGUGGUGUGUAUGUGCCUGUGUGUGGUGUGUUUUCUGUUUGUGUUUUGUGUGUGUGGUAUGUGUGUCUGUGUGUGGUGUGUGAUGUGCUUGUGUGGUGUGUGCGUGUGUGUGGUGUGUAUGUGGUGUGUGCAUGUGUGUGGUGUAUUUUGUAUGUGUGGUGUGCUUUUGUGUGUGUGGUGUGUGCAUGUGUGUGGUGUGUGUAUGUUUUGGGUGGUGUGUGUGGUGUGUGCAUGUGUGGUGUGUGUUUUGUGUGUGUGUGGUGUGAGUGUGCAUACUCGCGUUGUGUGUGAGUACCUGUGUGUGUGCAUACCUGUGUUGUGUGUGUGAGUACCUGUGUGUGCGUGUAGUGUGUUUUUUGUGUGUGGUGUGUGUUUUGCAUGUGUGUGGUGUGUAGUGUGUUUUGUGUGUGGUGUGUGUUUCGCAUGUGUGGUGUGUGUGGUCUGUAUGGUGUGUGUUUUGUGUGUGUGGUGUGUUGGGUGUGUGUGCAUACCUGUGUGGUGUGCGGUGUUUUUUGUGUGUAGGGUGUGUGUGGUGUGCGUGUGGUGUGUUUUGUGUGUGUGUGGUGUGUGUGUGUACCUGUGUGGUGUGCGUGUGGUGUGUUUUUUUGUGUGUGUGUGUACCUGUGUGGUGUGUGUGUUUUAUGUGUGUG
ensembl:lncRNA